AUGGAAGUGUGCGAGAGCCUAUGCUUCCUCUGCCCCGAACUGCGGACCAGGUCUCGCCACCCGGUCAAGCGCUACAAGAAAUUGCUCGCCGAAAUCUUCCCCAAGUCGCAGGAUGAACCGCCAAACGAUCGAAAGAUAGGCAAACUGUGUGAAUAUAUUUCGAAGAAUUCACUGCGUGUACCAAAGAUUACCAUUUAUUUGGAGCAAAAGUUUUUCAAGGAAUUGAGAUCUGAGCGUUUUGGCUCAGUGAAAGUUGUCAUGGCAAUUUACCGAAAGGUGACAUGUUCUUGUCCGGAGCAACUGCCCCUUUUUGCCAAUAGUUUACUGACCAUCGUAGAGACCACAAUGGAGCAAAAUAGACAUGAUGACUUACGGAUAAUAGGGUGUCAAAUGCUUUUUGACUUUGUAAACCACCAGGUUGACAGCACUUACAUGUUCAAUCUAGAGAACCAAAUUCCUAUACUAUGUCAGCUGGCCCAAGAGAUGGGUGAGAAGGAGAAGAUAUCUAGUCUUCAUGCUGCUGCGCUCCAAGCCCUUUCAUCUUUGGUCUGGUUUAUGGGUGAGCACUCCCAUAUCUCUGCAGAACUUGACAAUGUUGUCUCUGCAGUUCUGGAAAACUAUGACAGCCCAUAUGCAAAUUCCGAGACUAACGAUGACACCAUUGAGGACAGAAGGAAUCGCUGGGUGAAUGAAGUUCUCAAGGCUGAAGGUCAUGACCCUCCUGCUGCUACCAUUUUGGCGAGGGUUUCUUCAUGGAAAGAUAUUAGAACUACCAACGGGGCAUUGAAUUUGACAACACAAGAAUCAGCAAGUCCUAAUUUCUGGUCAGGGAUUUGCCUGCACAACCUUGCUAGAAUAUCCAGGGAAGCAACAACCAUCCGGCGAGUUCUGGAGACAGUAUUUCGUUAUUUUGAUACUAACAAUAUGUGGUCACCCUCUAAGGGACUUGCACUGUGUGUCCUUCUGGAUAUGCAGAUUGUGAUGGAGAAAGCUGGACAGAAUGCGCAUAUAUUGUUGUCGAUGUUAGUUAAGCAUCUCGAACACAAGAAUGUAUCGAACCAACCAGAUAUGAUUCUAGACAUCAUUGAAGUUACAGCACACCUUGCUGAGAAUUCCAAAGCUCAAUCUUCUACUGCAAUAAUGGCUGCAAUUAGUGAUAUGGUCAAGCAUUUGGGUAAAAGUAUGCAAGAUGGAAGUCUUGGAGGCGAAAACAAAUGGAACGACAGCUAUCAGAAAGGUGUAGAUGAAUGCAUUAUUCAAAUGUCUAGAAAGGUCGGUGAUGCUGGACCUAUCCUUGAUACAUUAGCUGUAGUACUGGAGAAUGUUUCAAGUACCACACCUGUUGCACGGUCAACCAUUUGUGCAGCAUAUCGUACAGCUCAAAUAAUUGCUUCAUUGCCAAACUUGACAUAUAAGAGCAAAGCAUUUCCUGAGGCAUUGUUUCAUCAACUGAUUAUGGCAAUGGUCUAUCCUGAUUGCGAGACCCAUUUAGGGGCACACCGGAUUUUCUCUGUUGUUCUUGUUCCCUCCUCUGUCGCUCCAUGCUCUUUCUCAGGAACUUCACAGACAAGCAAGGUUAAUCUGCAGAAGACACUAUCCAGGACAUCGUCAGUUUUUUCAUCUUCAGCAGCUUUGUUUGGGAAAUUAAAAAGAAACGUGUCUUCAUUUCGUGGAAGUCCACGGCGGGAAAGCUCAAAUCUAAUGCCCAUCAUCACUGAGGACGCAGAUCAGGGCAGUGAAAAUGAGCCACAAUUGUUCAAGUCACAGACUAUCCAAAGGAUGACUAGUGUAAAAGAUCCUUCUUUACCGUCUGCAACACAAAUAAGUAAAUCAAGUGGACCUGCUCCAGAAACAGAACCAGUCAUCCUGAUACUGAGUGCACGUCAGGCAAAUAUUCUGCUUUCAUCGCUGUGGACCCAGGCAUUGUCACCUGAAAAUGUUCCACGAAACUAUGAAGCAAUUUCACAUACUUACAGCUUGAUGCUACUAUUUUCUGGAGACAAGAACUCACAUCUAGAAAUUCUGGUUGGCAGCUUUCAGCUUUCUUUUUCUUUAAGAAAUAUGUCAUUACAAGCAGGUUUUCUGCCACCAUCACGCAGGCGUUCUCUUUUUACUCUGGCGACGUCUAUGAUUGUGUUCUUUUCGAAAGCUUUUAGUGUUCCAACACUCAUUCCAGUUGUGAAAGAUUUGUUGAUUGAAAGUACGGUUGAUCCAUUUCUUCGUUUAGUUGAUGACCUCAGAUUGCAAGCUCUCGACAGUGGUAUCGAAUCUGUCUUUAGAGACUACGGUUCGAAAGAAGAUAACGAUUUUGCUACGAAAUCCCUCUCUAACAUCAAACUGAAUGAUCAGUCAAAACAAAUAGCAGUUUCUCUUAUUCUUGAGAGCUUGAAGCUAUCUGACCCAGAGUUAUCUACUGUAAGAAACCAGUUGUUUGAGGAUUUCUCUGCAGACGAUGUGUGUCCUAUCGGUUCGCAUUUUAUUGCAUCACCUUCAAAAUCCCCUGCAUAUAACGCGAAGAUGCACCAAAAAUCCUUGGAGGUUAUUCCUAUGGGAUUUAUUUUCGAGGAUGAUACCAUUCCUGAACCAACUGACACCUUAGCAGAACCGACGUCGCGACAACCAUUGGAUAACAGUCUUCUUGAUGUCGAUCAGCUUCUGCAAUCAGUUUCCGAGACAUCUCAGAGUGUUGGAAGAUUGUCCGUGUCAACAAACCAGGGUUUGCCUUUUAAGGAGUUGGCCAGCCAAUGCGAAGCUCUCUUAAUCGGAAAGGAGAAAAAGCUAUCUGUCUGCAUGAGUACCCUUCAACAAGUGGUUGGCACUGGGAUGCCCGAGUCAUCUGAGCCAGAUUCUCCAAUAGCUGGGAUAAUCCUGCACACAGACGAUGACCAGUGCUACUCCAAUUUCUGCAAGCUACCAGUCCUGAAUCCCUAUGACAAGUUCCUCACAUCCGCUGGUUGCUAA
rnacentral:rRNA from 1 species